rnacentral:rRNA from 1 species
CCCUUAGAUGUUCUGGGCUGCACGCGUGCUACACUGAUAUUGCCAAUAUGUCAUUCUUAUCCGAAAUGGAUUGGGUAAUCAAGUAAUGAAAUUUCAUGCUUGGAAUCGGUAAUUGCAAUUUUAUCGUGAACGAGGAAUUCCUAGUAAGCACUAGUCAUCAGCUAAUGUUGAUUAUGUCCCUGCCCUUUGUACACACCGCCCGUCGCUACUACUGAUUGGGUGUUCAAGUGAGAUGCUUAGACCCUUGUUGCAUGGUUCAUUAUUGUGCUCCGAAAGGAGAAAGUUUCAAGCUUGAGUGUCUAGAGGAAGUAAAAGUCGUAACA